CGUUAUUAAAUGUGGUGGCAAAUGUUUCACAACCAGACGUGUGCCCUUCCGAGCGGCCCGUUUCGCCCGUUCUGAGUUCGAGAGUAGAUCGAGGCCGUCAACGUCCCCGGGGCCUCCAGUCGUUCGCUUUACCGGAUGGAAUUGCGUGUCGUUCUCCUGCUGGCGCCAGCUAUCGUGA